rnacentral:lncRNA from 1 species
CAGACAGUAAGGGCUACAUGGUCUUGCUGAGCUGUCCACCCAGCAAUUAGAGGGGCAUGAGAAGCUGCACAGUGACAACCACAAGGAAGUCAUCAGCAUGAGUCAUCUGCAAAUAUAGCCAACUCCAUGUCAUCUCCUUGCUUCAGCAGGGGAGAAGGUGGUUUUCCCAGAAGGAACUAGAAUAUGCCUGGCUCUGGCAGAGUUCCAGACACAAGAGAAAGACAGGGAGUUUUUGAAGUUCUCUCUCUCCUUCUGUGCAAAUUAAAGGUCCACUCAUCUUUCCAACCCUCCGACCCUGAGAGAAACACACAGCUCAGGAGUGCCAAGCAUCUCUGCACCAUUCAGUCGUGAUGUAAAUCAGGAAAAUCAAGACCCUGUUCUAAGACUUCAGUGUAGCUGAAUCAGCUGCUACAUCGGAUGAAGCAAAAGCCUGCCAUGGACUAGCUAACUGUCUACUCUGUGUCCACUGAUGGAUUCUAGCGAGAUUUAAUCAUACCUUGUGCUUCUGGCUCAGCACUCAAGUUGCUCAGGAAACGCCAGUCCUUGGACUAAUGGAAUUCACAAUCUUACCAGGACAAAGUGUUUAUUUAUAAUAAAAAGAGAAAUUUUCUAAUAAAGAGAGGCAGAUGUUAACCAUCUUGAUUCAUUUCAAAUGUGCUUGGACUAAUUCAACAAGCUUCAAAUGGAGGAUCAGAGGGCAAGCCCUGUUUUGCUUAUACCCUUCAGGGUCACAUUAAAUCCAUGUUGUGUUUUCUGCAAGAUUAGAAACAGACAGCUAAAUGAACUCAACAGCUCUGAGAUGCAACUUUUCUGCCUUGAAUAGAAAAUCCCACAGUUUGGUUUUCAUGCUUAUGAGGAAAAGUUCUUAUUUAUGCUAAACAGUCUUUUAUUCAAAAUCUCAGAUGUGGCUGGCUUAGAUGCUGAUUAUUCAACAUUCUCAUUAUUCACUAU